rnacentral:tRNA from 1 species
GGGGAUGUAGCUCAAACGGUAGAGCGCUCGCUUUGCAUGCGAGAGGUAUGGGUUUCGGAUUUUCAAUUUCUUUA